AAAAACUAUGAUGGAAUGCACAGCCGCUAAUUCAUGUAUAAAACUAGUGGAAGAUGUCUGGUUAAACGAGUCGAACAACAAGAAUUUCGUAUUCUCUCUGUUCUCAAUAGAAAUUGCUCUAGGUUUCCUUGCAUCCGGAGCAAGUGGUGAAACGUUAAAACAGAUGUUAGGUUUUCUCAACUCCGAAAGCAUCGAAAAUCUAAAUUCUGUUAGUUCGAAACUUAUUGGCGCGUUAUGCGAACCGCGAAUUGAACCCACACUUUCUUUUGUUGGUGGUGUUUGGAUUGAAGAUUCUUGACCCAUUAUACCUUCAUUCAAAGAAGUUUCCGCCGCAGUAUAUAAAGCAGAAUCCGGAUCUGUGGAUUUCGUAAAUAAGAACAACGAGGUGCGGAACAAGGUGAACACAUGGGUUCAAGAGGAAACAAAUGGAUUAAUACAAGAUCUUAAUCCUGAUGGAGCAGUCAAUGAACAUACAAAGUUUAUAUUGGCGAAUGCACUCUAUUUCAAAGGACAUUGGAAUGAUUGUGAUCAAUUUGAACCAUCAAUGUUCUAAGGAAAGGUGGUGUGUAUGAUGGACAAAAGGCGGCUGAGAUUAAUCUUAAGAUGGAUGGCUGAGAUCAUGCCUCGGCCCAUUAUUAAUCGACACCAGCUCUAGGCUCUGGCCGACUAAACCCGUCCAGCUCGAUAACUAUCCCCAUUUAAACCUGAACUUUGAUAUUUAAGUUUCUGAAUAUAAAGAUUCCUGAUUUAUGCUCCUCACAUAUUUGCCAGAAACACAUCCAGGCGCGCUCAUCAAAAUUUGAUUAAUUUCUUAAAAUUGUUAUUAGCAUUAGUGUUUUGAUUUGUUUUUUCUUUUUAAUGCAGGGUUGAGGUUUGGUAUUAAGCAGUUUUCGACAGUUUGUUUAUGCACAUGGGCUUAGUUGAGAUGUCAGAAAAUUAAAACCCGAAGGAAGUCUCAUACAAGAUCAUUAGCGAUAACUUGAUGUUAAGUGGAAAUAGGAGAUAGAAUCUUGCCCCGUUAGUGACGACUUGGAUGUGACAUGAAUACCCUGUUACCACUGAACUUCAGUAGGAACUUUGGCAUUGCAAAAAGAAAUUUAUGAUGAAUGCCACUAGAUUGCAGUAUCAUACGCGGGGCGGGACUUAGCAAGACCCGAUAGGUGGGGCAGCGAGGUUUUUGACAUGGUUCUAUCACAGGUAUAAUGGGUAAAAACAGUGUAUCUUACAAAGAGCUCAAGAGUGACAUGUUUCCGUUUCCUAAAACAUGGGCAGAAGUAAUAGGGUUGCCACUGAAUAGGUAUCGAACCAUAACUCUGUCGUAUUCUUUUCAGUUCACUUUAGCUCUUUGGUUUUGGGAUCUCUUUAUUGUAAAAGUUGUAAAAGGAUGGACUGGGCAUGUACACUUUCAGAAAUCAGUCAAUUUGUCGAACAUUGGAGGUUGCUUUAGACCUUUAGUCAUUCUUAGUAUGUGUACAUUUGCAGUUGUAUUGUUACCUGGGUUCGUAAAUGCCUGUGUAAAUAUC